UACGUAGGGGGCAAGCGUUGUCCGGAUUUAUUGGGCGUAAAGGGUGUGUAGGUGGCGCGCUAAGUCGGGUGUGAAAUUUCGGAGCUUAACUCCGAAACUGCAUUCGAUACUGGCGUGCUUGAGGACUGGAGAGGAGACUGGAAUUCAUGGUGUAGCAGUGAAAUGCGUAGAGAUCAUGAGGAAGACCAGUGGCGAAGGCGGGUCUCUGGACAGUUCCUGACACUGAGACACGAAGGCCAGGGGAGCAAACGGG
rnacentral:rRNA from 1 species